UACAUAGAAUAUUUUGAGAAGUAAUAACAAUGUCAGUAAAUAAUGUACGAGGAGACAAUGGAACAUUCUUAUUUCUCUUCCCUGACAGUAGGAGAGAAUCUGGCAAGUUACCAUGGUCCAUUUAGUCAUUUUGCAGGGGGAAGGCAAGAAAAACAAAAGAAGUUACUCUACACGUGGAACAACAUGCCAUUUCUAAACACGACUCAACAUUUGUUAAAAGGUCUUAAAAGUCAGGAAAACAAAGGAAAUGUGAUUUAUGUUUAGUUUUGCAGUUUAGAAGGUGUUCACAGGGCACUCAACUGUAGCUGCCAACUUUACUCCUUACUUCAUUCUGUGGAAAUCGAUCUGACAUGUUUGUUGUCAUGUUCUCAAAGUGACCAGCUGUUGAAGGUGUAUGAAAUACAAAAUAUCAUGGAAGGAAUUUGUCGUAGCAAAUGAGCUGUGGGAAAAAACGUUGCAGCUGAAAGAAAGCAGUCAAUUGCCAGAAUAUGUAACUCAGCCCUAGGGAAGAGAAACACCAGUGGGAGCGGCCCAUCACUUCCACAAGAAGAAAGGAGAGAAUUGUGGUUUGUUGCCAAAGAGGUGAUGUUAUAUGUAAUAGUUCAUUAAUAGUAAUGAACAAGAAAAAACGGCUUUACUAUUGCAUGUUAUAAUCUGAGUUCCUUAAGAACAGCAGUGGAACAUCAAGGCUCUUCUGGAUGAGAACAAGUCACACCUUUUCCGUACCCAUUUGAAGCUGUCCCAGCAUGCACUGGAGUAACGGAUGAAAGGGCAGCAUGCUAACGAUUUUGAUGUAUGUUUUCAAUUUUCCAUUUUGGUGAAAUAGUAUAGGGCUUGCAUUUGUUACUGUUGCUGCUGUGACUGAGACUAAAGAGACAGACACAGGAAUGAACUGCUAACUCAGCUUUUUACCAUCUGCAUUAGAUAAUGAGGUCUUGUGAAACAUUUUGAAUGACUGUUACUCUUAUCCUAUACAUUUCUGUAGAAAUGGAUACCAUGACAUACAGAGUAAUAACUCAACAGUAAAUAAAAAUCUUUU